rnacentral:sRNA from 1 species
CGAUAGUCCCGAGGAUUCGGGAGGAAAUCCUUUUUGGGGCGGGGUUCGACCCAAAAAGAUUGAAGCGGACAGCGGGAAUAGCU